GACGAACGCUGGCGGCGUGCUUAACACAUGCAAGUCGAGCGGUAAGGCCCUUUCGGGGGUACGACGAGCGGCGAACGGGUGAGUAACACGUGGGUGACCUGCCCUUACGCUCUGGGAGUAAGCCUGGGAAACGUGGGUCUAAUACCGGAUAUGACUCCAUAACGCAUGUUGUGGGGUGGAAAGCCUUGUGCGGCUAGGGAUGGGCCCGCGGCCUAUCAGCUUGUUGGUGGGGUGAUGGCCACCAAGGCGACGA
rnacentral:rRNA from 1 species